GGGGUGGUGGCGCAGUUGGCUAGCGCGUAGGUCUCAUAAUCCUGAGGUCGAGAGUUCGGGCCUCUCUCACCCCA
rnacentral:tRNA from 1 species